UUCCAUAGAUUUUUUUUUAAUAUUGACAUUUGGCAUGGCAUUAAAAAACCAGUACAACACAAGAGACAUGUCUAACUCAACUAAGCAUAUUAAAAAAAAUGUCUGACACUAUGUCACACUUUGGUUUCAUCUCGAACUAGUGUACAUCAUAUUUAUCAUCUGAAGAUUUUGUUGAGCUUUUCCAUCAAUUUUCCAACUUCAUCAUGUAUUCUCUUCAGAGUAUUUAAGUAUAUUUUCAUUAGUUACAAGUUUUAAAAAAAUUGAACCCAUAUGCUAAUGAAAAACAAUUUAAAAGAGAAAAAAAAAACAAGAUCUUAAUGUGUCCUAGGCAUUGAAAAUUUACUUUUGAAGGUUCUAUUUUCUUGAGAAAGAUUAUAAGUAAAUGUACAAUGGCAUGCAAAGAGAACAUGUUCACUAAAAGAAAAUGUAUUUCUUCAAUUACCUCUGGUUUCUCUAGGAAAUGUUAUUUCUUACAUUUUAUUCAUGAAUAAAAAUAGCUCUCUGAUUUGUACUAAUAAAUGUGAAAAAAAACAAAGAAAGGUAAAGUUCCCCUUUCAGACCUAGCAAUCAAUGGGGCAGAUGAUGUAAAUAUCUUCUGUUUUUAUGGCACACGAUUAACAAGAGUGCCAUGCGGCCAGCGCAAUGACCAGCCGCUUUUACUUUUCUCCUAUUAGCAGCUAUCCAUUAAAGUAUAGUGGGAUUAGGGGCACCUUAUAAACCCCAAACUUUAAAAAUCCCAGUCUUCGAACCCAAGACUCCUCGGUUCAGAAGCCAAGUGCUUUACCACUUAGCUACCAUGCCCCCAGUAAUAAAUGUUUCAAAAGCUCUUAUGUUUUAUACCCAAGAAUGUUUGUUUCAAAAAAAAAAUUACGUAAGGAAAUUCUGUACAAGUUUACUAGAUGUGCUCAAUUUUGUCUUUUACACAAAUAAAGUUGUACAUACAAUCAACAUUGUAUGCCUGGUGCAGAUCUCCAUUAACCAUUGCAGUAGUCAUAACAUACCAGUUUGACUUGAUUUCAAAUAUAUUGUCACUCUGGGUAGACCAGCCAAAUGAGAGACCUGAACAUUAUUACAAGAUGAAAGAAAUCAACUUUCCAAACUACUAUCACAUUUAUUGUGUCAAUAAAAGUACACACUUGGCAGAAAAAAAAAAAGAUGACAUUGAACUACAACUAUUAUAUAUGGAUAGGUGUUAUUCAUGUAUAACAAACAAUUUAUUAUUCAUAGUACCGAGAGGAUGUAUAAUGGUCACAAUAUAAUGUUAAAACAACUUUCAAUGUUUGCUCUAUGAAUGGACUACACCAGGAUGAGUUGAACCAAGAACAUUGAAAACAAUGGAGUGGUGUAAUGAUUCAGCAGACGUAAGAAAACAAGGUAGAUCACUCAUGAAUUAUAUCUGGAUAACAUUACAACAGUGUUUCAAACUAUCACAGAUGGCUAAAGUAUUCUGACUUUAGACACAAGAUUACCUAAAUUGAUUGCAAAACAAUUUUUUUUUACUUUUAAAGGUAUCAUCAGGUGCGAACCCCUAUCUAUUUUUCCAAGCUCUCUAGCUGUGCACUAAAUUUAAGUUUUACAAAAAGUAAUAUAAAAAUGAAUAUAAAACGCUAAGAUUUUUUAAUCAAUUAUUUUUAAAUACACGUGGGUGGAUAAUUAGUCCUUUUUUUUUCUAUUUACAAACAUUCCUUCUAUAAAAUUAUUAACAAGACAUUCCACUAUUGCCUCCAUGGAAAGUCUGUCCAGUUAAAGUCUUAACAUUUGGAUGAGUAAUGAUACCCCUUUCCACAAUUCCUUUUAGGUGAUUCAACUAAACCUAUAGAAAUGAAAAGAAUAUGUACUCUCUAAUUUAAGACACAGAACUGGUUUUUAGAAACUUACCCACAAGGCCAAGCUUAAAAAUGUUGGUGGAUCCUAGGAAACAUUAUUUGGACGUUUAGUUUAGAAAAAAAUCAUCACAUUUUAAGACUUUAUGAAUUAAUAUAAUAUAAAGAAAACAAAUAUAAUUUUAUUAUUUCAAAAGUCUUGACCAUCACCUCCCCCC